rnacentral:rRNA from 1 species
AAGUCCCGUAACGAGCGCAACCCCUGUGAACUGUUGCCACCGAGCCGUGAGGCUCGAGCACUCUGUUCAGACUGCCCCGCUCUAACGGGGAGGAAGGUGGGGACGACGUCAAGUCAGUAUGGCCCUUACGGCCUGGGCUGCACACGUACUACAAUGCCCAGCACAGAACGAUCCAAGACCGCGAGGUGGAGGAAAUCUCUAAAACUGGGCCCAGUUCAGAUUGAAGUCUGCAACUCGACUUCAUGAAGCCGGAAUCGCUAGUAAUGGCGCAUCAGCUACGGCGCCGUGAAUACGUUCCCGGGCCUUGUACACACCGCCCGU